UGCGAAACGCGAGAAAAAGAACGAAAAACGCUGACCAGUGAAUGCGCAAGCCUCAGGCGCACGCUCGCCCCCUCCCCUCCUCUCCCAGUGUGAGCCUCGCGAGUUGAACUGAAAACAUGGUCUGAGUCGAACAGAGAUGACAGAACAGGUGGGCAGUCCGGCUCUCUGGGUCUCGAGUUUUUGGAGGAGAAGAACGUUGGUCAAGACCUGUCGUUUCUUACCAUUUUUGUCGUUCCCGUCCAGUCUCGCGCUUCUGAGACCGAGACCUGAGCGCUGAAGUCAGACUUUUCGAUUUGAGUUAUACAGUUCUGGUUCGCGGAUCAUUUGUACAGAGACAAUAUCUACUUAUAACGUGAUAAUUACAAUACAUGGUCUAGCUAUGAUCUUUAAGUUCUUAAUGCCGGCUUUGUACGGAGAGGAUAUGGUAACUUCUUUGUACCAAUCUGUACAUUGGUGGUUCGGAAGUCGUUUUCCCAAGAACUAACGCGAUCUCCUAUUUCCUAGUACCGUUAGUCAACUCAUUUGGUCUGAUCCUAAGUACGCAGUGAGCUACUGCAGUUAUGAGAUACAGACAACCAAGUUCUGUAUGAUUGCUGUACACCACCACCCCACUGGACUGCUAAAGACAGCUAAAAGUGCUGGAUUUCAAUAUCCUACGACAUUAAGGUACGGUCGUAAGGUGCGCCAGGGAUAACAGGU
rnacentral:lncRNA from 1 species